rnacentral:tRNA from 1 species
GGUCGUGCUGGUGCAGCAGGCGGCGGCGCUGCUCCUGCGGCGUGCCGUUGACCGGGUCGCCGUUCGGGUCGGUGUAGAGCCC